ensembl:antisense Gm16316 predicted gene 16316
ACUUCCAUGGGGGUGGAAGUUAGGGCUGGAACUCUGCUGGUCACAGCUCUUUAUGGUAGAUGGGGGAGGCUGUGGCCCUUUGUAACUUAACAGGAAUUUUAAUUAGUUCUCAGAAAACUCUGAUGUUUAUCAGGACUCAAGCAAACAAGCUCUUCUUGGGAGUGUAUUUGCCAACCAGAAGGCUUUGGACAAGUUGGUGAACUGUGGUGGAAUAAAAACCUCCAGCUUGAGAGGAGGGGAGAGAUGUGAGGUCUGCAGGCUCUGCCUUCUUGCUACUGUGGAUAACCUACAGCAAUCCGUCUGUGCCUUGGCUGUCCAAUGGAGGAUGAGAUCAUAACUUCCCCCAAUAAGUUCUUUGUGUGUGCUGUAGGUGAGUACAUGUUUGUGUGGGUGCGUGUGUAAACAUGUACACAUGUAUAUGGAGACCAGAGAUGCAUGCCGGGUAUCUUCCUCAAUCACUUUCCACCUUAUUUCUUUUUAGAUUUAUUUUAUUUCAUGUAUAUAAGUGCUUUGCCUACAUGCAUAUGUGUGUUCUAUGUGUGUUGGUGGUACCUGCAUGCAUAUGUCAGAUGAGGACUUUGGAUCCCCUAGAACUGGAGUUUAUGGUUGGCUGUGAGCCACAGUGAGGGUGCUGAGAACCUAACCUGGGUUCUCUGUAAGAGCAGCAAGUGCUCUGACCACCGAGCAAUCUCUUCCGCCCUCCACAUUAGUUUCUGAGGUAGGGGAUCUCACUGAAGCUGGAGCUCACUGAUUUGGCUAGGCACUGGGGAACAGAUGCAUGCAGCCACCUCACUCCUAUGUGGGUGCUAGGGUCCUCAUGCCGUCACGGCAGGCAUCGUACUGACUGAGGCAUCUCCCAGACCCUUCUAGUUUCUUGUGAGGAUUAAGUGACUGACACAUACUAUAAGUACAAAAAUAUUUGUCACAACAACAACAACAAUAACGCCCAAUGUCUUAAUAGUAAAGACACAAUUUUCUAAUUCUGACUGUUUCGUGGUUCUCCGCCCUGGUGCUGAGUGAGAGGAAUUGGGAGGAAGGCACUGGACUUCUCCAGAAUGUCAGACUGAGUCCUGCACAAAGGUCUUCUGAGAGCUGCUGGGGGAUGGGGGAGUGCUCUGUCUAGAGGAGCUGGAGACUAACCCAUUGUUUAGCUGUGCCUUUAUCCCACAAGCACAAGGGGCAUCAGGAAAUAAGGCUGCUUUGUAAGAAAGUUCACUUUACUGACACUACCCUCUCUGGCUUGGAACAAAAAUAAUAGGAGCUCAUUCACAAAACAUCAAUUUCUUCAGCAUGCUACCCCUGGCACUUGCCUUGUGGAUCUGUGGCAGAGUGCAUGAAGAGAGAAUGCUAACACCACCAACCUACAGGCAUGGCACACUCACGCUGUCUCACAGCUGACAACAGUAGAACACACAUGUAAACCAGGAUCACGCACAGCCAAGCCUCACACACAUGUCAUCUCACAUCAUCUGAGUGAUGAUCAAAUGGUCAGACAGGGGCUCUCAUGAGUACUCAGUAGGACAAGCAUGCUGAUGGGGGUGGGGGGGGCAAGUUUCUCAAAAGCCCAGGAAGGAAGCCGCCCAGGCUGUGCUCUGGCUCAGGGAUGGAUCUCCAGGGCCAGGCCUGAUGCUCUCACACCUCAUGCCAUUGCCUCUAAAGGGCCUCUCCGCAGACAGCAGUAUCAGCCCCAUGUGAGGAUGGAGGGGAGGAAGGCGGUGCAGACUGAGGCUCACACAGCCCUUCACAAUGAAGCUGCCCUUGACCCUGCCCUUUCAACAUCCUCAGUGCUGCCUUAGCCUCUUCUCCUCUGAGCAGCUUUUAUUCCCAGACCUUCUCAUCUGCCACUAGCCUUUGACUGGCAGCCGCAGUAAAUGAAUACCGCUGAAGAGAGAUAAGAGCAGGCAGAGACUAUGGAGAAGAGAGCCCACCACAAAGGAAGCAGAGUAAUCAAGCAUGGAAUGUCCUCGGUUGCUCUGUCAGCAUUCUGUAUGAGUCUUCAAGGGGCUCUGGAAAUGCCAGCAGCCAGAACCUGACCCAGCUCAGACAGCUGGUACAGAGAGCUCAGAGUUCUUCUCAUAACUGAUGCCACUUUUGUUGGUUCUAAAGAAACAUGCAUGUCUCUGCUCUGAAAGACGCCACCUGCGCCUCCCAAAUCUGCUUUAUUCCAGCCAAGCGGUCCAGGGCUUUUAAAUUCUGCCAAUAAUCUUGGCUAGGGCUGGUCUAGAGCAGUUGGGUAGGGUGACAGAGCCUCACAACCGGAGGGCCCGGAGUCAAGUCCCAUGAGUGCAGGUAAAUGGGCAAACACCUGAUCCAGUCACUUAAAGCUCACAGAAGCUGGAGACUCCACCAGCAGACAGGGCAGGAUUGGGGUGCAAAGCACUGAGGUACAGACUGCUCCCAGCCUGUUCUGGCAUGUGAAUAAUAGCCAAACAGCAGCUAGGGGAAGAGGCUGUUUACUUGAGUUCAAACUAUUUAUAGCAUCAGCAAUCUGCACAUAUUUGGAUGACAAAUCUCUGGGUUUCAAGUGAGCCGAGCUUUGCUCCUGGACAAUUUCAACAAACACAUUCCCUCCCCACGCCACCCCCAGGUCCCCCAACACGUGUUGCCCUCAGGAUGUCUAACUUGAGUUGCCGAGCUUCUAAAGAUUAUAAAAAGAAAUCACAUUUCAAGAGCAUGUGACUUUUAAUUCAUUUAUCUAUGGGUUUGAAAUACAUAAUAUUUCCUUUAAGGCUUGAAUCAUGAAUCUCAAUCCAUGCACAUUCUUUAAUAGUUUCCAAAGAUCCCAUAAACUGCCAACAGUAUCUGAAUGACUAUAAUCAGCAUAUUCUGCACUGCUAUAAUGCUGUCGUGCCCAGCUCAAGACCUACACAAAGAACAUUUCUUAUGACACAGUUUGUGUAGGAGGAUAAAGGUUUUCAGAAGUGAUCUACAAAUAUGUAACCAUACAGCCGUGCCAAACACACAGCAGAAGCAUUCCCCACCGACUGUAGAGCAGAAGCAGUCAGUGCAGGGUUACAGAGGCCCCUGGAGCUCACCGCAUGCCACAUGGGAGAAAGGUGGCCGGGCUGCAACAAAAGGCAUGCAGAAACUUCUGCAGCUUUAACUCACCAACAGCAUCGCCAAUGAGUCCGUUUGGGAAAACUAGCUACCUCUAAAAGCUGCUUUGUUUUUAGAACUAGGCAUUGUCUCACUCUGAAGCAAGAAAAAUGGUGGUUGUUAGGUCCAUAUGCAGGAUGGCUGCAUUCAAACGUAAACAGCUGAUCAGUGAGAGGAGUGGUGCUGGACCAGCAGUGUAUGGAGAGGGAACACGGCUUGUCUUUGAAAGGACUGUCCUGUUUCCUAAAUCGUUCCUCUUGCUAAUAACACUUACUAGAAGAUAAAUGAAAGGUUC